GUUAACAACUUGUAACAACCUUGGUGAUAUUAUCAGACUUGUUGCAAGGUUGUUCCAGCAAGUCCGAUACAGUCAUGAUUAACAAUAUUGUUACAACCUUGUGUCGUCAACCUUGUAACAUUCUUGUUAUAUCAUGACUGUAUCAGGCUUGUCAGAACAACCUUGUAACAAGUCUGAUAAUGCCAUCAAGUUUGUUACAAGUUGUUAAC
rnacentral:miRNA from 1 species